CGUCUAGGUGGCCUGGCAAGUCAGAUGUGAAAUCCCUCGGCUUAACCGAGGACGUGCAUUUGAAACUGCUAGGCUUGAGUGUCGGAGGGGGUAGCGGAAUUCCCGGUGUAGAGGUGAUAUUCGUAGAUAUCGGGAGGAACACCAGUGGCGAAGGCGGCUACCUGGCCGAACACUGACACUGAAGCGCGAAAGCGUGGGGAGCAAACA
rnacentral:rRNA from 1 species